UGCGUAGGCGGCUUUUUAAGUUUGGUGUGAAAUCUCCCGGCUCAACUGGGAGGGUGCGCCGAAUACUGAGAGGCUAGAGUGUGGGAGAGGAAAGUGGAAUUCCUGGUGUAGCGGUGAAAUGCGUAGAUAUCAGGAGGAACACCGGUGGUGUAAACGGCUUUCUGGACCAUAACUGACGCUGAGGCACGAAAGCGUGGGUAGCAAACAGGAUUAGAUACCCUGGUAGUCCACGCCCUAAACGAUGCAUAUUUGGUGUGGGCCAUUCAUUUGGUCUGUGCCGGAGCUAACGCGUUAAAUAUGCCGCCUGGGGAGUACAGUCGCAAGGCUGAA
rnacentral:rRNA from 1 species